rnacentral:tRNA from 5 species
ACUCCCAAAGCUAAGAUUCUACAUUAAACUAUUCUCUG